CCGGGCCGGGCUGGGCCGCCAUCUUGGGUUUCGGGGAGAGAGAGAGAGAAACAGUAACAACCCCCCCCCCCCCCCGUCUCCAGAGGCCUGUAGAGAGAGGAGAAAGUAGACAGUGAGCUAUUACUGGAGACUUUCUGGUCCCUCCAUGCGGAGUGAGAGAGACAGAGAGGGAGUGGUAACGAAGAAGGGUCCCGACCUGAAACGUCAACUUUCCUGCUCCUCUGAUGCUGCCUGGCCUGCUGUGUUCAUCCAGCUCUACACCUUGUUAUCUCAGACUCCAGCAUCGGCAGUUCCUACUAUCUCAGAGAGGGAGAGGGAUUUUUUUCAGAUGCUUUCUCUUUGCAGGCUGGGUGGUCCCCCAGGCAGACCUUGGUCCACUGGUCAGAAACCGCUCACAACAUUAUUGUUAAGUGUUUGUCCCUGAGAAUAGAACCUUCAACCCCA